GGGGCAAUGAAACAAAAAAAAAACAAAUCGUUGCAAUUACACGAGAAACUGUCCUUUCCCUGAGCGCUUCGCGAGGCGUGGGACGGCUAUCGGAGUCGCGUCACACUUGUCAAAGCCUCGUUCUCCCUUUGACGUAUCGCCGACGAGCUCGCCAAUAAAGACGAUCCCCCGGUCAGAGGAUACCUGCAGCGGGGGGGGGGCGCCUCCCACCUCGUUUGGCGCCGUUACAAAUGUCGCGUCGUCGUCGUCGUCGUCGUCGCGGCGGCAGAACGCCUCGCACGCGUGAAAUCGGACUUAUCGAGGCCCCCCUUGCGCGCGCGUGUCCAAUCGCGUCUUUCUGUCCCGCGGCACUCUUCCCGCGUAACCCCUUCGCUCCCAUCGGCCGCUCGGCGAGCCUUUAUUGCGGUUGUAUUUCGCUUUUCUCCGCCGAUUUGUUAUUUAUGAGGCGUGAUGACGGCACGGUGGCCCCGGGGGGAGCCGCUCGCGCGUUUCGUAUGCACGACUUUUCACGAGCGGGCCCGUGACGUUUUCAUUUCGAGUGGUGCCGAGGUGUGGAGUAUUUGGGUUGCGGUUCACGGAUGCCAAAUUUUCAAAUCGUAGUAGAAUAAAAUGCCGUCAUUUUAAUAGUCUAAUAUUGAAGCGCUGUAUUUUCCAUCGGCUAGGAGAAAGAAAGAUAAUUUUUUUCACAUUUACAAUUUUUUUUUUAAUAUAUCAUUUUAUCUUUAUUUUUACGUUAACUAACCAAAGCUGCGCAUCAGGACAGAUUUCCGAGUCAUUGUCGUUUAACAAGUUUUACGUUCCGUAAUAUUAAAGACUAAUGUUGGGAGCAAGUUAAAUGAACAGUUACAAGCAACCAAAGUUCGAUGUUUGAAAGACAUUUUUUAAUGCUAUGGAAAUUUUAAUGGAAUUGUCUUUUUAUAAAAGUUAAUCAACUAGUAUUUUUCAACAAAUAUUUAAUAUUUAAGUCCAAUGUGGUCAAUGCGUUUGUCAAAAUUACAUUCAAAGUUGAAUAUUUUAAAAGUUAGAAUUUUGUAAUUAUUAAAUUUUUUUGCUAUUUAAAUAAAAGUCAUAAUAUUAUCAUUGAACCUUAACCCACGUAUAGUUCAAGCACAUUAUUUCAAAAGCUCAAAUAAUCAAGUUUCUUCGUAAAAUUUACAUUAAAAAUCGCGGUAGAUGAACAGUACGUUUCUACAGAGUUUUAUCGAUACUCCAAGGUCCCUCUCCAUUUAUGCUGUCAUCGCAGUAUAAAAAAAAAGACACUUGCUAUUAGAAAAUCUAGCAAUCAACAACUUUUGUUACAAAAAAAAAGCCGUUCCAAUCAGAGAACCGCAAAAAUAGCGACAAGUGCGAGCAACCGAACGGUUCCUCCAAUCAAAAAAAAAAAAAAAAUAGGCACACGUUUUUUUUUCUCACGCGCGCUAAAAGGCAACAACACAUAGCACACGCGUCGCCGUGACGAGUUGAAAAAGGGACAAACAGCAGUUAGGCGAACGCUUAUAUAUAGGGGCAUGCGAUGUGUCUAAUAUGCAGAUAAAACGCGCCACGUGCUGUUCAAUUGAGACACAAUCGUUGGGAUGUGCGACUACGCCUUUUAACGUCGGCUGUUUGUUUUGAUUUGUUGCGAUCGAUGAAUACAUUAAGAAAAAAAAAGAAGAAAAGUAGAAUCGCUUCCAAUCGCGUGUAUUGAGAUUUACACUGUUUUCGCAAAAGCACAGUAUCACGUCAAGUACGAUCGGCAAAAAAAUAUGUAUAUACAUGCUUAUACGUUCGUGUAACUGGGCAAAAUAUUAUCCUACGCAACAAUUUUCGCAUAAAAAUCAAUAUUGAUACAACGCGUUACACUCGUACAGCAUGGUAAAACGAUUGCAAGCCUUCAUUAGCAGUCGGCGCUCAGAGAUAAGCCAAGCAAUCUUAGCUACUAUCUGCGUUUAUUCUAAUUGACACGAUAUGUGUCUAACGACUAGACGUUCGGCGUAUAUAUUCAUCAGCCACUUCCUCGAGAGAACAUCGCAUUGUAUAGGCGCAAUGUAACUGUACGCUUUCGCACGAGCUGCCAUUGUGUCUGGCAUGGGGUUUCUAUAGCGCAACGCUGCUGCUUGUUUCCAUUCGCGGACGUGAGAGCCGCAACUUUUACUUAAAAACCACUGAUUUGGAGAUCAGGUGAAAAUUGUUGCUUGGCUUGCACGUUACUUUCUGAUUUGUUGCUCUAAGGACACGGUUUCCAAACGUUCGCGAGAUUUCCGUUGAAGUGUUCGUAUUUGUUUUUAUCGCAAUACGAAAUAAAAAAAAAAAAAAAAAAAAAAAACAAACAAAUACCGCGGAAAAAAGCAGCCGUUUUACACAGACGUCGUUGAAGAGUCUUGCGUAUGUUAAUAACCAAAAAUAUUCAGUCCACUCCGGUUUCGCUCGCGAUCUCUGCAUUGUACGUUCGGAUUUACGAGACGCUUUAUCUAACCCCAUAUGUUAAUUUUCAUUGAUUACGUCAAGGUAUAUACUGUUCCGCGCGCGACUGCUGAGAUAUCAGCUUUAAACGAAAAGUAGAGGCGUUUCGUUAAUUUGCGCUCGCCAAUAUUUCAUUCAUAAAAGAACGAAAAGAAAAAACAAAACCAAGCCACGGAUAUGUAGAAAGAGCGAAGGCCAAGCGUUUUAUCUCCUCGCCUACGCGCGGAUCCAAUGAAUUAUUUUUCUUAUUAUUUCGGGAGAGGCGUUCGCGAUAUGUUGCGCAGUUUUUUUUCAUUUUUUUUCGGGGUCACGACCACCGGAUGCAGAAACGAAGAAUGUACAUGGCGAAAUGUGUUUUUUGUUGAGGUGUAGAGCAAGAUUUUGUUACUGAAUCCUCUGGUAACAUUUGUUGCGGGUUUGAAAAUGGAAGUUUACACAAGAAAUGAUCGUGAAUUGCUGGAUAAUAUACGCAACGAAAUGAUUAGCCAGUAAAGAGAUUUGUUCGUUCCCAUAGUAAUUACAAUUAAUCUUCUAAUAAGAUUCGAGAAAUUUUUCUCCAUUGAAACCAUAGUGAUCUCUCGCUAUUUGCUUGAACACAAUAACUAUUAACAUCCACAAUAAGUGGGAAGAAAAUGAAAGGUCUUCCCCCACCUCCAACAGAAGAGAGCAAAAAUCGCGAAACAAUGUAUGCAACGAGAUCAAUUACGGCGUUGUGGUAGGUAUAUUAUACUCGAACGUCAGCAGCAGCAGCCGAUGUUAAUGACCUUAGACUUGCGGCUCGUUUGCAAAGGCGAUUCUCAUUCGCGACCUAAUAAUCCAUAUUCGUACAUCAUGCGCAAGGCUGCCUUGUUAACUGUGGAAUCUUUUUCAUCUCUCCCGCAUGCAAAAUUACCUAUCUUUGACUUUCGUUUAUUUGUAGCGCGUCGUCGGGUUAGAGUAGGAAAAACACCAGUCGACCGAGGAAUUAGAUUUUUUUUCCACUUUGAUUGACGCCGUAAAAGAGCGUUCAUUGGAUUUUUGUUUUAGGCGCGUACGUAAAACGUUCCGUGCACGUAAACCCAAAGGCAACAUUGCACGUGUGCAGCGGCAAGAAUCUAAAUAUAGACCAUCCUCGACAGUUACGCGUGAAAUCCAGCAUGAGAAAGAAGAAAGGGACGAGCGAGCGAGCGAGCGAGCGAGCGAGAGAGAGAGAGAGAGAGAGAGAGAGAGAGAGAGAGAGAGAAAGAGAGAGAGGAAGUGCCGGAGAGUGUUUGUGUAAAAGGUGGCAAUUAGCUGUGUGGCGUGUACACGUAUAGGCUAAUUGAGUAUAUUCUCUCGCUCGGUUUGAAGACUGCAACAGCGCAGUAUGAUGCCGAGGUACGUCAAAAGUUGGAGAAAGGAAAUUUCCUUUUCUUGUUAAAGAAAUAGGUUGAGAGAUGGUGGACGCGAGACAUUUCAGUCGGUUGUUAAUGACACGUUAGACACUCCGUCCUAGUUGUUUUGCCAAUAUGCGUUUUCUUCUCUUUCGUUUGGGUACAUGCCGGGAUUUCUCGCUCUUUGAAGUUUUUGUUGAACUUGACGAACCUGCGUGAAAAUACAUUCGUUUAUUUAUUUCCGCGAUCAUUAAUUUAUUGCAACUCGACGAGUUGUAAAAUUGUCAUAAAGGUUCCGCUAUGCCGAGGAGAAACUUGCUAAAAAUAGAUUUGACCACUUCAGAGACUUCAAUGUUUUUCUUUUACACUUGUAACAAAGCUUAAAGAAACUUUGCGUAGUCCAGUUAAAAUUCAGCAUCGCGACAGAAAAGAAAAAAAAAAAGAAACGAAGCUCAACAAAAGCAAUUGAAAAUAAAAGGCACGGACGAAAGAGUACAUGCGCACGCGUCAGUCCGUUGUCACGCAUCCCUUUUUCGUACGUUGCGUGCGUACGUCGAAUUUCAAUCGUCGCGCAUUUACAUCUGCCGCAUUGUCUUGGCUAAUUUUGCGAACCCUAUUUGAUGAUAGACAGACGGCUUCUUUAUUUUCCUUCUAAAUUUGAGAUCAUCCUCGUACUUUUUUUUUCGACGUAGGGGAGACUCGAGUGUGUGCGAUUUCGAGUGGAUUAUGUUGCGUUUGUGGAGUGUAGUCUGCUGACAGUUUUGUGCAAAUUUAUUCACGCAAUGAGUUAUUGCGUAAAUAUUACUGUGUUAAAUAUUUUUAACAGUCUUCGAAAAAUCUUUACAAUGCUAAUAAUCGUUGGGUAUUACGUGGAUAAACAGUAAUCCAAUUAAAUAAUCAAAUGAUUGUAACGAUUGUAACGACGAACAAUGCUCAAUUUAUUAAAUAAGCCCCAGCAGCAAUUGAGCUUUAUAUAAGCCUUCGAAGCAUUUAAAGCCGAGUAGUUAGUAAUAAACGUCUACCAUUUCACGACACAAUGUCAUCUCGUGUUUUUUUUUGCGAGUUGCGCUUGGCAAUUUAUAUUAAUGACUGUAGUUAUUGUAAAACGAAGGUUAUCUGGCAAAUUUACUUUUUGAGAUAUCUACAAUUCUUUUAAAACAUUGUCUAUCAUUUUCGCACAUAAGGUUACCGUAAAAGCAACAUCGUCUACGAGUCUCAGUUCACCGAUUGGCGACAGGAGUGUGCUGCAUAAAUCUAAAGUCCACAUCGCUCUGUGAAAAAUAUUUUGUUAAUUUAAUUACUAAUCUUUGUAAAGCUUUCGACAAGGUCAGUAAAAGAUACUGCCACGAAACCAUGUUAAACUAAGAAACUCAAAAGAUAAGUAAACUUACGGUUUGAGAACAAGAACACCAAGAAGGUCGACGAUAACUGAGAGGUCGUUCAUCGCCACAGCCGAGUCCACGGCCGACUGCAACAAAAACAAAUCACCACGAGUAACUACACAAUUUGCACUGUAUCACUUGCACAAUAAGGUUGACCUUCUUGUCAUCACCGCCAGUAACGAGGACUCUGCCGGACUUAUGACCCAACGACAGGCAAUUGACGUUCGACGAAUGGGCAACGAAGUCCUCUGCAGAAAAAGACCAAUAUCAUACACAUCAACUAUGCAGACACAUAGGCGAUUUCUUGAAAGACCUGUUAUGACGCAACGUUGCUUUUCACGCCGAAGCGCGAGAUACGUUUAAUGUACACACAACUGGAUGUAUUUGCUGGACAGGUGCAUCUCUAAUGUAUGUUUGCCGCAGCAAAAUUUUUAAAUUAAUAAAAAU